ACAAGCCCUGGAAACGGGGUCUAAUACCGGAUAUGACUGUCCAUCGCAUGGUGGAUGGUGUAAAGCUCCGGCGGUGCAGGAUGAGCCCGCGGCCUAUCAGCUUGUUGGUGAGGUAGUGGCUCACCAAGGCGACGACGGGUAGCCGGCCUGAGAGGGCGACCGGCCACACUGGGACUGAGACACGGCCCAGACUCCUACGGGAGGCAGCAGUGGGGAAUAUUGCACAAUGGGCGAAAGCCUAAUGCAGCGACGCCGCGUGAGGGAUGACGGCCUUCGGGUUGUAAACCUCUUUCAGCAGGGAAGAAGCGAAAGUGACGGUACCUGCAGAAGAAGCGCCGGCUAACUACGUGCCAGCAGCCGCGGUAAUACGUAGGGCGCAAGCGUUGUCCGGAAUUAUUGGGCGUAAAGAGCUCGUAGGCGGCUUGUCACGUCGGUUGUGAAAGCCCGGGGCUUAACCCCGGGUCUGCAGUCGAUACGGGCAGGCUAGAGUUCGGUAGGGGAGAUCGGAAUUCCUGGUG
rnacentral:rRNA from 1 species